rnacentral:rRNA from 1 species
UACGGAGGGUGCGAACGUUAAUCGGAAUUACUGGGCGUAAAGCGCGCGUAGGUGGCUUGAUAAGCCAGUUGUGAAAGCCCCGGGCUCAACCUGGGAACGGCAUCCGGAACUGUCAAGCUAGAGUGCAGGAGAGGAAGGUAGAAUUCCCGGUGUAGCGGUGAAAUGCGUAGAGAUCGGGAGGAAUACCAGUGGCGAAGGCGGCCCUCUGGACUGACACUGACACUGAGGUGCGAAAGCGUGGGUAGCAAACAGG